CCCGGAAGUAAGCGGCACAUGCUAGCAGCGGAAUGGAGGUACAGCAGAAAAGACCGGCUGUGUUGUACUUUUAACGGGAGCACUGGGUGGUGGCGGAGCAGUGAUGCUGCAGGACCACUGUGUGAGAGAGGACGCUGCAGGUAAGUGCUGAGUCGAUCUUGGUGAGACUUAAAACUUAACAAGCACAAGAACAACAGGGGGAUGCAAUGGAGCCUGAACUCACCCCGCAAUGAAACAACCCCCUUACCCUGAGUCUCAACUCUGUGGGUUUUGCAAGCCUUUCCCUGUUCCUUAUUUUUAAUAAACCAAACACUGAGCUUCCCAA